GGGUUGUGAGGUUAAGCGACUAAGCGUACACGGUGGAUGCCCUGGCAGUCAGAGGCGAUGAAGGACGUGCUAAUCUGCGAUAAGCGUCGGUAAGGUGAUAUGAACCGUUAUAACCGGCGAUUUCCGAAUGGGGAAACCCAGUGUGAUUCGUCACACUAUCAUUACGUGAAUACAUAGCGUAAUGAAGCGAACCGGGGGAACUGAAACAUCUAAGUACCCCGAGGAAAAGAAAUCAACCGAGAUUCCCCCAGUAGCGGCGAGCGAACGGGGAGCAGCCCAGAGUCUGAAUCAGCUUGUGUGUUAGUGGAACGGUCUGGAAAGUCCGACGGUACAGGGUGAUAGUCCCGUACACCAAAAUGCACAGGUUGUGAACUCGAAGAGUAGGGCGGGACACGUGGUAUCCUGUCUGAAUAUGGGGGGACCAUCCUCCAAGGCUAAAUACUCCUGACUGACCGAUAGUGAACCAGUACCGUGAGGGAAAGGCGAAAAGAACCCCGGCGAGGGGAGUGAAAAAGAACCUGAAACCGUGUACGUACAAGCAGUGGGAGCAUCCUUUUGGGUGUGACUGCGUACCUUUUGUAUAAUGGGUCAGCGACUUAUAUUCUGUAGCAAGGUUAACCGUAUAGGGGAGCCGAAGGGAAACCGAGUCUUAACUGGGCGUUAAGUUGCAGGGUAUAGACCCGAAACCCGGUGAUCUAGCCAUGGGCAGGUUGAAGGUUGGGUAACACUAACUGGAGGACCGAACCGACUAAUGUUGAAAAAUUAGCGGAUGACUUGUGGCUGGGGGUGAAAGGCCAAUCAAACCGGGAGAUAGCUGGUUCUCCCCGAAAGCUAUUUAGGUAGCGCCUCGUGAACUCAUCUUCGGGGGUAGAGCACUGUUUCGGCUAGGGGGUCAUCCCGACUUACCAACCCGAUGCAAACUGCGAAUACCGAAGAAUGUUAUCACGGGAGACACACGGCGGGUGCUAACGUCCGUCGUGAAGAGGGAAACAACCCAGACCGCCAGCUAAGGUCCCAAAGUCAUGGUUAAGUGGGAAACGAUGUGGGAAGGCACAGACAGCCAGGAUGUUGGCUUAGAAGCAGCCAUCAUUUAAAGAAAGCGUAAUAGCUCACUGGUCGAGUCGGCCUGCGCGGAAGAUGUAACGGGGCUAAACCAUGCACCGAAGCUGCGGCAGCGACACUAUGUGUUGUUGGGUAGGGGAGCGUUCUGUAAGCCGUUGAAGGUGUAUCGUGAGGUAUGCUGGAGGUAUCAGAAGUGCGAAUGCUGACAUAAGUAACGAUAAUGCGGGUGAAAAACCCGCACGCCGGAAGACCAAGGGUUCCUGUCCAACGUUAAUCGGGGCAGGGUGAGUCGACCCCUAAGGCGAGGCCGAAAGGCGUAGUCGAUGGGAAACAGGUUAAUAUUCCUGUACUUGGUGUUACUGCGAAGGGGGGACGGAGAAGGCUAUGUUAGCCGGGCGACGGUUGUCCCGGUUUAAGCAUGUAGGCGGAGGUUCCAGGUAAAUCCGGUACCUUUUUAACGCUGAGGUGUGAUGACGAGGCACUACGGUGCUGAAGUAACAAAUGCCCUGCUUCCAGGAAAAGCCUCUAAGCAUCAGGUAACACGAAAUCGUACCCCAAACCGACACAGGUGGUCAGGUAGAGAAUACCAAGGCGCUUGAGAGAACUCGGGUGAAGGAACUAGGCAAAAUGGUGCCGUAACUUCGGGAGAAGGCACGCUGAUAUGUAGGUGAAGUGAUUUACUCAUGGAGCUGAAAUCAGUCGAAGAUACCAGCUGGCUGCAACUGUUUAUUAAAAACACAGCACUGUGCAAACACGAAAGUGGACGUAUACGGUGUGACGCCUGCCCGGUGCCGGAAGGUUAAUUGAUGGGGUUAUCCGUAAGGAGAAGCUCUUGAUCGAAGCCCCGGUAAACGGCGGCCGUAACUAUAACGGUCCUAAGGUAGCGAAAUUCCUUGUCGGGUAAGUUCCGACCUGCACGAAUGGCGUAAUGAUGGCCAGGCUGUCUCCACCCGAGACUCAGUGAAAUUGAACUCGCUGUGAAGAUGCAGUGUACCCGCGGCAAGACGGAAAGACCCCGUGAACCUUUACUAUAGCUUGACACUGAACACUGGUCCUUGAUGUGUAGGAUAGGUGGGAGGCUUUGAAGUGUGGACGCCAGUCUGCAUGGAGCCAUCCUUGAAAUACCACCCUUUAAUGGCUGGUGUUCUAACGUGGACCCGUUACCCGGGUUGCGGACAGUGUCUGGUGGGUAGUUUGACUGGGGCGGUCUCCUCCUAAAGAGUAACGGAGGAGCACGAAGGUUAGCUAAUCCUGGUCGGACAUCAGGAGGUUAGUGCAAAGGCAUAAGCUAGCUUGACUGCGAGAGUGACGGCUCGAGCAGGUGCGAAAGCAGGUCUUAGUGAUCCGGUGGUUCUGAAUGGAAGGGCCAUCGCUCAACGGAUAAAAGGUACUCCGGGGAUAACAGGCUGAUACCGCCCAAGAGUUCAUAUCGACGGCGGUGUUUGGCACCUCGAUGUCGGCUCAUCACAUCCUGGGGCUGAAGUAGGUCCCAAGGGUAUGGCUGUUCGCCAUUUAAAGUGGUACGCGAGCUGGGUUUAGAACGUCGUGAGACAGUUCGGUCCCUAUCUGCCGUGGGCGCUGGAGAAUUGAGGGGGGCUGCUCCUAGUACGAGAGGACCGGAGUGGACGCAUCACUGGUGUUCGGGUUGUCAUGCCAAUGGCAUUGCCCGGUAGCUAAAUGCGGAAGAGAUAAGUGCUGAAAGCAUCUAAGCACGAAACUUGCCCCGAGAUGAGUUCUCCCUGAGACUUUAAGUCUCCUGAAGGAACGUUGAAGACGACGACGUUGAUAGGUCGGGUGUGUAAGUGUAGCGAUACAUUGAGCUAACCGAUACUAAUGAACCGUGAGGCUUAACCUUACAACGCCGAAG
rnacentral:rRNA from 1 species